AUUAUGGUAGCUCAAUAAAGAGUUUUACAUUGAAGCUGUAAAGGUAGGUUAACUCCAUAAUA
rnacentral:tRNA from 1 species